GACGAACGCUGGCGGCGUGCUUAACACAUGCAAGUCGAACGGAAAGGCCCUGCUUUUGUGGGGUGCUCGAGUGGCGAACGGGUGAGUAACACGUGAGUAACCUGCCCUUGACUUUGGGAUAACUUCAGGAAACUGGGGCUAAUACCGGAUAGGAGCUCCUGCUGCAUGGUGGGGGUUGGAAAGUUUCGGCGGUUGGGGAUGGACUCGCGGCUUAUCAGCUUGUUGGUGGGGUAGUGGCUUACCAAGGCUUUGACGGGUAGCCGGCCUGAGAGGGUGACCGGGCACCAUGGGACUGAGGGAGGGCCCAGAAGGCUACGGGGGGCAACAGGGGGGAAUAUUACCCAAUGGGGCGAAGCCUGAUGCAGCAACGCCGCGUGCGGGAUGACGGCCUUCGGGUUGUAAACCGCUUUCGCCUGUGACGAAGCGUGAGUGACGGUAAUGGGUAAAGAAGCACCGGCUAACUACGUG
rnacentral:rRNA from 1 species